CAGCAAAGAUGCACCUGGAGAAGCCCCAUCUUCUGCCAGGAAAGAAAAGAGGAGAACAAAACAGCCACCCGGAUUUCACCUUUCUUUCUGCAAAAGGGAGAGGAAAAAGACCGGGAUGCAAAUCUGACACUGGGAGAAAGGAAUCUCCGCUUGCCCUAGAGAGAGGGAGGCUCCACUACGCAGGCGCUAGAGGGAGGGUCGGGGAGGCUGCAAUCCGGGCAGGGCAACUUUCGGGAGAGCUCCUGCAAAGAGACCCUCGAGGGUUGCACAGGAACUUCUGUCCUUUGUCUCCGCGCCGAAGCACCAGUAUGACAGUUGUUUACAGUCGGGCAAAGAGCUUAGCGCCUUCAGGUUAUUUCUGCUGCAAAUAUUUAGACUCGGGACUUGACUUUGGUAUGCUCAUCGGUUGCUUCAUAGCUAAAACAGAGGACCUCCAGAACUCUAGAAGGCAAUGUGAGUUUUGGGUUAUCAGUUAGCGUUUGGGAGCACGACUUAGGAGGACCAGGUUUCAAAUUCCCACUCGCUUGGCGCCCCUGGGUCAGUUGCUGCUCUCCGCCUAACCUACCUCGCAGGGAUGCUGUGACGAAAUGAAAUACUAGUCACAAAACUUCUGGAUUUACUUGGAUCAAAUAUGAUUUUGUAUUCCACACCGACUGGGACCUAGAAGCAUUUUAAAAUGUUAACAAUUCCGUCAGAAAUUUCCUUAAACGAUGCAGUUUCAAUCCCUGAUUCCCACUCCCCCAAAAUCCUCUGUGUUAGUAGUAGUUUACUGAGACAAGUGAAACAAGCUGUUUCCUCUUACCAAAUAUAUGUGAAAGCUAUUGAUAGACAAAAGGUUUUGGGUUCCAUGUAAGUCAUAGUUGUCUAUAGUAACUAUCAAUGGCAGGGGUGAGUAGAUCUACUGGUGAGUAGACCUACUGGUGAUCUACUGGUAGAUCUCUGGGUGAUUUGAAGUAGACAGGCAAGGAUUUUUCACCCUGUUUAACAAAGGCAACAACAAAACAAACCCUUAUCUCAAGUUACAUUGGUGAUUUGAAGACCAGGCAUGGGGGAAAUGAAUGAUGUAACAAAGAGUGGAUUUUUGUGUGGAAGAAUUGGAAACUUGCUAUUCAGUUUAGUUCUGGUACUCAGAACCAGUUUCUAGCCUCAGAAUUCUUUAAUUCUAAAUAUUUUGCACCUGGAUCUGGUUGGUAGAACUCAGGGUUCUAGUAAAAGCCAAUGUUGCUCCUGUAAGGCUGAAGUCUAGCUACCCCCUGAGGUAUGUUAGAAGUGACAAUAACUCACAGCACUAACCUACCCAACUUUACUCAACAGUAAGUCACACUGAGUUCAAUGGGACUUACUUCCAGGUGUGUAUGGGAUUGUAGCCUGAGUAUACUUAUUACCUCCUAUAUACUUCAUGUCAAGUCUGUAACAAACUGCUGUUUUGGGCUCCAAUAUCAUGCCAUCCAUGUUUUGUCUUGUUUUUUGACAUCCAACCUGAAGUUCUGAAGACUGACAUUUUAACUGUUCCUUAUAAAACAUAUUUCUCUAUGUUG